AGGGUGUGCCUUUCAGGCAUCCUCUCCCAAUCUUUUGACAGCCCGAUCCAUAGUGAUCGGGCUUUUUUCUUGCCGCCC
rnacentral:sRNA from 1 species